UCUCUCAUACCCACACUCUUUUUGUGACUCACUUCAUUUCUCCUACCCACACUCUUCCUAUUUUUCUUCUUCCUUCUACCUCUUCUUCUUUCUCUUUUUCUUAUUGAAACCAAAUAGAAACAACCGCUAAUCUGUGACAUCAAUUUAUGAUUUCAAAAAUAAACCCAUAUCUUCCUCUUCUUCUUUCUUCUAUAAAUCUUUGUUUAUUUUGUAUAUUUUUAUUAACUAACUCAAUUUUUUCAUUUUUCUGUUGUUUUUCAUCACUCAUCACUCAUCACUAAGAUCUAGAAAUAUUUUUUUCCAGAUCUACAAAUUAAAGAGGAGUAAAGCAGUUUAUUUUCAAGAAUGGGGACGACGAAAGCGAAACGAGGACGGGGAACACAAGAUCCAGGAAUCCCUCGACACGGGGAAGCAAACUUUCUAAAAUCGAAGAUGAAGGAAAUGAAGAGAUUGGGUGUCUAACAUAUUCCAUUCAAUUUUUUUAAAAAUGAAGAGAUUGAGAUCUGUGUUUUUAAAACUGCCUCCAUAUUUUCUAUUUAUCAUUAUGCUUAAAAAAUGUUUAGUGGGGUGAUUUGUGUGUUUAUUAUGACUCUGUGGUAGUUUUGUAUUGACCUAAGAUUGUUGGUUUUUCAGGAAUAGGAAGGAAAAAUAAUAUUGGCAUGUCUAAUACUGUUAUGACAGCAAUUCGUACAAAUGUGAGAGAAACACAAAUAUGCAAUGGUGGAUAGGUAUAAAGUGUGUUUUAGUUACACAGAGCAUGUUCAACUAAGAAACCAUUGCUGAUAAUCUCCUUUGCAGAAAUAAUCUCCUUCAUCUAUGUUUCUUCAUCAAUAUAUGUUCUUCUUUAUGGUUUUGUUGAUUUCAUUUUGCACAGAAGAUUUACAAUAAGAAAGGAGUAAAUUGAUGGAUAUGGUGUGUUUUUCUCUCCGAAUUGACUUUCAGAAUAGAGUGGAGUAAAGCACGCUGAACAAAAACGAGAAGGAAGGCCAAGUAAGAUUUCAUCAACAUGAAGAAAGUUAUCAAUGGACUGGACACAACAAUUAAUGCCUUCAAUUUUGACAGAGAAAAUAUUUAUUAGAUUUAGAUUUUUAAAAGUUAAAAUGACAACUCAUUUAUUUUUGUUA